UUGGCCCUGAAUCAAGGCCACCGGUUUGCUGUAGCCGUUGGUUUCAAGCAGGAGCCCAGAGGAACGUCUUCCUGUGGUCUGUUGGCCGUUCCAGAACCCCAGACAGGAGCGGCCAGUUCAGUUGGAAGUGACACAC
ensembl:snoRNA